GGGACAGAGAGCAGUCCAAGCGUUGGAGGGGAAGGAUCGCUCACAGUAGCCAUGGUGCUGCACAAAGACUCCUGCGUUGAGCUGAAUGAUGGGCACAAAAUGCCAGUGCUUGGGUUUGGCACCUACGCCCCAGAGAAGUUCCCCAAGAGCUUGGCAGAAGAAGGCACCAAAGUGGCCAUUGACGUUGGAUACCGCCAUAUUGACUGCGCGUUUAUCUAUGGGAAUGAGGUGGAGGUUGGACGGGCGAUCAAGGCAAAGAUUGCGGAUGGUACUGUGAAGAGGGAGGACGUGUUCUACACUGGGAAGCUCUGGUCCACGUUCCAUACCCCCGAGAGGGUCCGUCCAGCCCUGGAGAAAUCUCUGACAGAUCUGCAGUUGGAUUACAUGGAUCUCUUCAUCAUCCAUAAUCCGGUGGAGUUCAAGCCUGGAGAUGACCCCUUGCCAUUGGAUGAAAAUGGGAAACCUAUUUUCCAUAACACGGAUCUUAGAGACACAUGGAAGGCUCUGGAAAAGUGCAAAGACGCAGGGCUGGUCAGAUCGAUUGGGGUGUCCAAUUUUAACCACAAGCAGCUGGAGCUGAUCCUCAAUAUGCCUGGGCUGAAAUAUAAACCCGUCUGUAACCAGGUGGAAUGUCCCAUUUACCUGGAUCAGAGCAAACUGCUGGAGUUCUGCAAGUCCAAGGACAUCGUUCUGGUGGCAUAUGGUGUAUUGGGGUCCAGCAGGGAGGAGAACUGGGUAGAUCAGAGCACUCCUGUACUCUUGGAAAACCCCAUACUGGGCGCCAUUGCUAAGAAGCACAAUCGGACCCCCGCUCAUGUCGCAAUGCGGUACCUGCUCCAAUGAGGAGUCGUCGUCCUUGCAAAGAGCUUCACUCCAGCCAGGAUCAAGGAAAAUUUCAAGAAAGAAUGGCAGCGAAAAUGGCGAGGCGCAUACUUCGAAAAGUAUUUUGUUGCCUCCCACUUUUUAGAAAAGUAAGGGCCUUUGUUUGACUCUAAUAUCUCUGAUUUGGGUUUGCGAAUAAAAGUUACCGAUUUCCCAACGCGAUCGUUACCAUUUAUAAUCCGACUUUAUUCUCUUUGUUUUCAGAAACGAAUUGUGAAAGAUAAAGAAGUUGUUAUUCUGGUAAGGAGGGAACUGCCAAGCAAAUAUAUUGUACCCAUCCCAGUUUGCAUUUCAGUAUAAUAUCAAAUACUUGGCUCUUUAUUUCUAUUAAAUAAACUCUUUUCUUUAUGUGAAACAGGUUCAACCAGAAGAACAACAACAUCAACCCACUGAAACCAUCUGCGAGGUAAGCAAAACGGAGAAGCUGCAAAUAUCUCUUUCCUCUUCUGUCUUCUUUCCUAUCUAUCUAUCCAUCUAUCU